GGAAAGGUGCAGGAGUGGUUGAACUGGCACGCCUGGAAAGCGUGUGUAUGGCAAAACCGUACCGGGGGUUCGAAUCCCUUCCUUUCCG
rnacentral:tRNA from 1 species